UACGUAGGGUCCGAGCGUUGUCCGGAAUUAUUGGGCGUAAAGGGCUCGUAGGCGGUCUGUUGCGUCGGGAGUGAAAACUUACAGCUUAACUGCGAGCGUGCUUUCGAUACGGGCAGACUUGAGGCAUUCAGGGGAGAACGGAAUUCCUGGUGUAGCGGUGAAAUGCGUAGAGAUCAAGAGGAACACUCGUGGCGAAAGCGAGCUACUGGACAAUUCCUGACGCUGAGGCUCGAAGGCUAGGGUAGCGAAAGGG
rnacentral:rRNA from 1 species